AUCCAUCUGACGAGUCCUAAAUAGAACAAAAGGCGCAUCAAACUGGAU
rnacentral:hammerhead_ribozyme from 1 species